AUGCUGACUGUGAAUAAUUGAAAUUUCAGAAGCAGAAGAAGCCUGACAGGAGGAUACAGUGGUCGCAUCUUCAGAUCAUCAGGAUAGAAAAUAUCAUAAAACUUUUUUGCCGAAGAGCUUGGCAAAAUGGUUUUGUUUGCUGCACAACUGAUAAACCACUCUUAAGAAAAGUGCAGUAUCAAAAUGUUUGGAAGAACAGCCAAAUCUUGGUUUUAUAACUGUGCGAAAUCUACCAAAAGAGAAAAUGAAAACAGGAGUAAGUGGCUUUCUGAAAUCCCAAGCAAUCAGAGAGAGAAAAUACUGGAAGAGCUGGAUGUGAAGAAAGUGCUGUCAUAUUUGGUUUACAAGAGAGUCUUUUCCUUGGAGGAAUACAAAGACAUUUGGUCCCAGGAGAGCUACAGGAAGAGAACUGAAUAUUUUUUAGAUAAACUCUCUCUAAAAGGCCCAGGUGCUUUCUCUGCCUUUUGUUCCAUUUUGGAGGAGGUCAGUCCUAACUUGCUGACGUGCUUUUUCCUUGGCUAUGAAGACUACAUGAAUUUCCCAGUGUUACCAGAGCAAACAAAACUGAGAACUGUUGCAGGGAUGGAGCUUCAUGAAACCUGUCAGAUGAGCGACCAAGAAGGAAGCCUUUCUGCUGAGGAACAACUGAAUCAAUCAUUCAACAAAUACAGGUUAAAAUUAUCACUGUCAUGAUGUCUUUUAUGAUCCAAAUAUUUCUCGUGAUUUAGUUCUAUGUAAGUGAAGUACACCACUGAUGCUUUCAAAAAGUGUUUCAUUUGCAUCUGAUUUGACUUGGCAUUUGUAAACUACAAUUCCACUUUUAUAACAAACAUUUUUGAUGUUGAUUUUUGGAUGCUGAUUUAUGUUGGGGGUCACCUCUGGUCUUUACUACAGAUAUUCAUUAGUGAUGUAAUGCAUUGAUGACACUGCUAGUUUUCAGUGUUCAAGUACAUACGAUAAGUACAUUUUACUUCUAAAUUUUCUUGGAGUGUGAGAGACAACCUAAGUUAAUAUCACAGUUACUGUUAUUUUCAUUUAUUUUAAGAGGAAUAGAAACAGAGGAAGACCUAUGUAAGAACAGCAUGUAACCUGAUACAUUCUGGGAUACUGGGAUUUAAGUCCCUGCUUCAGAGAUUUACACCUAAAGAGAGGACAAAUAAAACCUUGGAAAGUCCUAAAAUGCUACAUUUUAUGUAGAUAUUAUUCAGUUCAGGCAUUUGCAGUUGUGUGUUUGGAGUAAUUCUUUGCCAAAUUCAAUAAGGAAUCUAGCUGAGAAUGGGCUACUGUUCUCAAUAGCUCAUUAGCUAUUAGAAAUACUGUAGGUAAUUUACACGUGUUCACCUAAGCCAUUCUGAGAAAAAUGCUUAAAAGCAGUUAAAAGCUGUCCUGCUGUUUUGGUGUGUCAGUAACAUAUAAACAGUAGAUUCUGGAGGCUUUAAUACCUUUGCAGGUCUAGGUUAAUUUUGUUACAUUUCGGCUAUGGUCUGGAUUACACUAGUUUUUAGAAAUGUAGUAAAAAUUAAUGACUGUGAAGUGAUUGAAAAAAUUGUGGUUGUAAGAGGUUCGGUUCACCUUGAGUAGCUGUGAAACAUGAAAUGGUAAUAGAGUAUGAAGACACUUGAUACAAUAUAGUAUGGGCAGAUAUACACACAGCUAAUGAAAUCCCAGUCAGAACUCCUUUCUGCACAGAUAUUCACAGGACUUCCAGGAGACUUGUAGUCAUUCAUAAUCUGAAUAUGUGCCAUUUGGAUUUAAACAGAUUAAUUUUGUAGCACUGGCCCUCUAACUUUGCAAGGCAAUUCACUUACAAAACCAAACCAAUUAAGAAGUGCCUGCAGCUAAAGAAUCACAUUAGGGAAGUAGUAGCCAAGUAGGAAAGCUUUCCUGAGGUCAGCCUAUGCUGGAAAUGCUUGAGAGUUCAAAAAACCUCAACCAGAUAUAAAAGAUGUCACUAUCAGUAUUUGCAGGGCCAAGUAGUCUCACUAUAAGAUAGUUACAUAACAUUCCACCUGACAAAAAGCAUAUGGAACAUCAGUUCUGCAUACAACCCGGAAGAAGAAAAAAAAAGAUGCUGAAGCUAUACUCUCUCUGGGGUGUAUCAGUGUGAAGUGUAGAAGUUAGUGUAGCUCCAGAACUCAUGCAGCAAGAAGGGAAUAGUUAUCUGUACUGCAAAGAGAAAACUCAAUGACAAACUGGUGUGCAAUAGCACACGAUUUACUUCAACACCAGUGUCCUGGAAGAAAAAAUAUAUCUUGACACCAGGUUAAAAAAGCACCAGCAGCCUUCUGUUGUAUGCUGACACUUAGGAAAAAAAUGUAAUGUCUAACUGACCUAUGUUAGUUUUUUCUUAAGUGCCACACCUGUGUCAAACACCAGAGGCAACAUGGUCUUUGUGGACAUGAGAGUCUUGAGUGCUUGGAACAAUUUGUGAAAAAGACAACUCCACUUUGGAAGAAAACAAUAAAGCUGGCAGCAAAGCAAAUGUGCCACCAAUGUGUAUCCUGCAGACACGCACUUUACAAACCACAGUUGCAGGGCCUCUAUGAACAAGGCAACUUGUCAGAGACAGAAAGUACCAAACAUAAAUACAACCAUGCAGGACUGUAGGGAGCAUAAAGGUAACUAGAAAUACAUAGCAGUAGCUAGAUGAGAAGAGAUGAGUAUAAGGAGAAAGUGGAAGAUGGCUUUACUGCCCUUUCCUAAAUAUUUGUAAAUAUUCUCAAUCCUUUGUAUUUUUUUCUCAAUGAUAGAAAAAUGUCAGACACACAGACACUUUAAGGACAAGAACUUCCCGUGUCUGAAGUAAGUGGCAAAAUUCCAGAUGAUGUUAGUGGGAGCAUCACGGUAAGUUAGAGUACUUUGAUACUACAGAUAAUAAUAGAAGUUCCACAGUUACAUAGCAAUUGUAAAGCUAUGUUUUUAUAUUUAUGUGUAGACAAGUUAUCAAAGUCUUACCAUUGCAGAAUAGAUGGUCUGGGAAGAGCAAAAUCCCCUCAGUUCUAAACACUAAGAUGACCCUGUUAGUUAAGAAUCAGCCAACUGUAGCCAUUGCUAUGUUCAGUCAGUACUUCGGACAAAGAGAAAAUAAAACUACAGAGGCAAAAGGUGUGUGGAUUCACACUCAAUUUUUCAUUUAAAGGUGAAAGCCCUAAUAAGGAUACCCCACUCUACUUUCUCAAUAUCCCCUCUUGAGACGGCUCCAGCAUUUCUGAUUACUACAAUAAAAAUAUGGUCUUUAACACAAAUGAAAUAGAGUAAAUCUGAGGUUUGCAUAUUGUGAUUUGGCCUAGGACUUCCCAGGCAAGCAGCUUAUUGACAAAUGCACUCAGAAAAAUACCAGACAGAAGUACCACGUUGUAUGACUUCAGUAAGUCAAUGCUAAGGAUAUGGUCUGAUUUUGGACCAGAAAACAUUGUCCAUGCUUCUGUUUAUUGUCCUUUCUGUACCUUCUUUCUCAGAAUACCCUCUUCAAAAGAGGGCAUUUGUAUUAAGACAAAUGAAUGGAAUUAUAGGUUGGGUCAGUAAUUGCCUGAAUAAGACCUCAAAUAAGUACUGCUUUCAACACCCUUAUUUUGGAUUUGGGGGGUUUCUUUUUGAUUUUGGCAGUUUUUGUUCAUUCGGAUUUUUUUUGAUGGGUUUGUUUUGGUUGGGUUUUUCUUUGCUACUUUAUCUCUCAAGCAUCCCUGGACAUUUGGUGCUGGCCCUAUGAAAAUCAUGCAGAUGUCAUAAAAGAAAAUAGUUAAUUAUUUUCCUCAGACUUUCUUUCUGUUUUCUCCUCUAGCAACAGUUUAUUUCUCUUAUUGAUUGAGAACUAAAAUAGUACAUAUAUGUUACUUUCCCAAGAAAAGACUGUGUCACAAUGGCUGUCAAAUAAAUUAUCAGAAUAAGUAACAUCCAAACUGUGACAAUCAGAUGCUAUUUUUGCAGUUGUUUUAAAACAAGCUAUCUACUUUCACACUGUGAGCAACAAGAGAUUUUUGCAUGCAGCUUUUCCAUUUUCGUCUAAAUGGUUUAUGAUUGUGCGGUACACACUGUAGAGUGCAUGUAACUAAUUUGUAUUUGAAGUCUGAUUGAUGGAUUUCCCACUUAUGUUUAAAUUUUGGAAUAGUUCAGUUCC